AACGAACGCUGGCGGCAGGCCUAACACAUGCAAGUCGAGCGAGGACUUCGGUCCUAGCGGCGGACGGGUGAGUAACGCGUGGGUACGUGCCCCUUGGUACGGAAUAGCCCCGGGAAACUGGGAGUAAUACCGUAUGAGCUCUACGGAGGACAGAUUUAUCGCCAAGGGAGCGGCCCGCGUUGGAUUAGGUAGUUGGUGGGGUAAUGGCCUACCAAGCCGACGAUCCAUAGCUGGUUUGAGAGGAUGAUCAGCCACACUGGGACUGAGACACGGCCCAGACUCCUACGGGAGGCAGCAGUGGGGAAUCUUAGACAAUGGGCGCAAGCCUGAUCUAGCCAUGCCGCGUGAGCGAUGAAGGCCUUAGGGUUGUAAAGCUCUUUCAGCUGGGAAGAUAAUGACUGUACCAGCAGAAGAAGCCCCGGCUAACUCCGUGCCAGCCGCCGCUGUAAAAC
rnacentral:rRNA from 1 species